rnacentral:rRNA from 1 species
AUUGAACGCUGGCGGCAGGCUUAACACAUGCAAGUCGAGCGGGGUGAUGGUGCUUGCACUAUCACUUAGCGGCGGACGGGUGAGUGAUGCUUAGGAAUCUGCCUAUUAGUGGGGGACAACAUCUCGAAAGGGAUGCUAAUACCGCAUACGUCCUACGGGAGAAAGCAGGGGAUCACUUGCGACCUUGCGCUAAUAGAUGAGCCUAAGUCGGAUUAGCGAGUUGGUGGGGUAAAGGCCUACCAAGGCGACGAUCUGUAGCGGGUCUGAGAGGAUGAUCCGCCACACUGGGACUGAGACAUGGCCCAGACUCCUACGGGAGGCAGCAGUGGGGAAUAUUGGACAAUGGGGGGAACCCUGAUCCAGCCAUGCCGCGUGUGUGAAGAAGGCCUUAUGGUUGUAAAGCACUUUAAGCGAGGAGGAGGCUCUUUUGGUUAAUACCCAAGGUGAGUGGACGUUACUCGCAGAAUAAGCACCGGCUAACUCUGUGCCAGCAGCCGCCGUAA